rnacentral:rRNA from 1 species
UACGAAGGGGGCUAGCGUUGCUCGGAAUCACUGGGCGUAAAGCGCACGUAGGCGGAUCUUUAAGUCAGGGGUGAAAUCCUGGAGCUCAACUCCAGAACUGCCUUUGAUACUGGGGAUCUCGAGUCCGGAGAGGUGAGUGGAACUCGAGUGUAGAGGUGAAAUUCGUAGAUAUUCGGCAAGAACACCAGUGGCGAAGGCGGCUCACUGGUCCGGUACUGACGCUGAGGUGCGAAAGCGUGGGGAGCAAACAGG